GACGAACGCUGGCGGCGUGCCUAACACAUGCAAGUCGAGCGGAGUCGAUCGACGGAAGCCUUCGGGCGGAAGAUGGUUGACUUAGCGGCGGAUGGGUGAGUAACGCGUGGGCAACCUGCCUCGAAGACCGGGAUAACAGCCCGAAAGGGCUGCUAAUACCGGAUGUGGUCAAGGAUCCGCAUGGAUUUUUGAUUAAAGGGGAAACCCGUUUCGAGAUGGGCCCGCGUCCUAUCAGCUAGUUGGUGAGGUAAAAGCUCACCAAGGCGACGACGGGUAGCCGGCCUGAGAGGGUGACCGGCCACACUGGAACUGAGACACGGUCCAGACUCCUACGGGGGCAGCAGUGGGGAAUCUUCCACAAUGGGCGAAAGCCUGAUGGAGCGACGCCGCGUGAGCGAAAGAAGGCCUUCGGGUUGUAAAGCUCUGUCUGGAGGGACGAAGGAAGUGACGGUACUCCGGAGGAACGCCACGGCUAACUACGUGCCAGCAGCCGCGGUAAAGUCACGUGU
rnacentral:rRNA from 1 species